rnacentral:rRNA from 1 species
AAUGGAAUUGCUUAUUGCACCACAUGUGUUUUUCUUUGAAACAAACUUGCUUUGGCGGUGGGCCCAGCCUGCCGCCAGAGGUCUAAACUUACAACCAAUUUUUUAUCAACUUGUCACACCAGAUUAUUACUAAUAGUCAAAACUUUCAACAACGGAUCUCUUGGUUCUCGCAUCGAUGAAGAACGCAGCGAAAUGCGAUACGUAAUAUGAAUUGCAGAUAUUCGUGAAUCAUCGAAUCUUUGAACGCACAUUGCGCCCUCUGGUAUUCCGGAGGGCAUGCCUGUUUGAGCGUCGUUUCUCCCUCAAACCGCUGGGUUUGGUGUUGAGCAAUACGACUUGGGUUUGCUUGAAAGACGGUAGUGGUAAGGCGGGAUCGCUUUGACAAUGGCUUAGGUCUAACCAAAAACAUUGCUUGCGGCGGUAACGUCCACCACGUAUAUCUUCAAACUUUGACCUCAAAUCAGGUAGGACUACCCGCUGAACUUAAGCAUAUCAAUAAGCGGAGGA